CUUAGUCCAAGUACAACAUCACAAUGUCAUACCUACCAAACAAUAUUCCCACCUGGAAUAUCAUCUCUACCAUGACCAUUCUUGAAGUCAACUCCCAAACAAUCCCGUCACUCAUAGUAUUACAUAAUAGUCUCCAACUUAACUUCUCGGAAAUCCAUUUCUAACAAAACACCACCGAAGACCCGCGCUCCGGACUACAACCACCACAACCACAGAACUACUUCGAGCACCACGCUCGCAACCUCUAGCCUCCCACACUGCCACAAGCAGAAACUAGGAAAACAGACGACUAUAGAAAAGACAAAACAUCACAACUUACCGUGGAAUCUCAUUGAAGGCUCGAGAGGAUGAUCUAGGUCUCCAUGCUCACGCAAUUGAUUAAACACACAAAUCAAUCAGCAUGCAAUCCACAUCAUCAUUUUCCAUCAAUGAAAUUCACACAUCACAUUAAAAAUAACCAUUUUACUCCCGCCCUAGAACCGUAAGGGCUCUGAUACCAAAUUGAAAAGACCCGACCCGUUUUUUUAAUUCAUUAAUUAAAAGUCCCAUACCUACUAAUUAACCUAACCGAAUUAACCCAACAAUAAAUCAUCAUGCACAGCGGAAACAUAUUAAACCAACAUCAAUUCAUCAUAAUAUUAAUUAACCAAUCAUUCAAUAACCACAAUUUACACCAGCAACCUAUCAUGCCUCUAAACCAGGUUCCAACAACAAUUAACAUAUUCAUAAAUAUAACAACCGAGACCCUAGAUCAUCCUCCUCUCCUCGCCAUGAUUCCACGGAUCACACUAUACCUGCACCACAAACACAAUGAGAUGCGUGAGUAUUAUCAUAAAUACUCAGUGAGAGCGAUCCUCCCAUCUACGAGCUAUACACACAAGCUAUGAGAUAACACCCACAUAUAUAAAAUAAACAAACCAUUCAGCAAGCUAAACAUCCAAUAACACUUCCAAUUCACCUACAAAUCAUCACACAACAAGUCACUCAAUCCCAAUCGCUUAGAUAAUCUCAUGGUCACGCACUCACCUUAACAAGGUGAUUUGAACUACAAAAACAACCAGGAAAGACUCUCCUCGCGACUGCAACGGCCAAACAACGCCCUACAACAAACCACACAAACAAAAAUCUCUAAGAACCAAAAGGACAGAAACAGCAGAAAAACUACAGCCGCAGAAACGAAACCCUAAAACAUAAACCAACCGUUAACUCCUUAAUCCCUUCGGUGGAAAGCAAGACCCAGACGUCACCAAGCUUCCCAAAAUAUUUGAUGCCGAUCGGAGAAACGAUGAAGCCACGAUCGCACUUACAAACUCCGCUGAUCCCAGUUCGCAACAGAGAAAAGGCGUCUCACCAAACUGCAUAUAACUCACUGAAUAUUAAUCCGAAUUCACUUCUGUAAAAAGGAGAAUCAACGUACACGCCUUACGACCAAACCUACCAAAUUUCGCUAGCUUUCGAUAAGAUUUGAUACGUCGGAUCUCUAUUCUACCAAGAUGUGACGAAACUGCUUCUCUUGCCUUAAACACCAAAGCAAAGCUAACCCUCUCCUUCUCACAAGUGAAAUUCUCCUUCUCCUUUUCUCAACUCAACUCUCAGAGACAACAGCCACAAAACAAAAGAGAGAAUGAAGCGCUCAUUAUAAAAGUUAGGGUUUUUGGUUUAAUCUGAUUAAACCAUGAUUUACCUAAACCGAUAUUAAUUAAACCUCCUUUGAUUCAAUUGACAAAUCGACCAGUUUAGGAAAUCCACCGGAAUUAAACCGACUCCAC
rnacentral:lncRNA from 1 species